rnacentral:lncRNA from 1 species
UUAGAUAAAAGUAACUGCAUAAAUAUUAGGAAACACGAUAUUAAAUCAAAGACUUCAAUUCAUGACAAAUCAAAGGCCUUUUUGACAAGAAGACACGAAGGCCUAAAUAAAGGCAAAGCACAUUCACAUAAUCUAGUGUUGGUACAUAUAAAUAAUUUGGAAAACAAUAAUACUUAAGAAGCCAAAUAUUACAUUACUUAAUAAUGAUUCAUUCUCAUUGGAGGAAGGAGAGAGAGAAUCGAUUCACAACAUCCCGUCAAUAUUACUAAUAUCGUUACAUGUUGACGUCUACAAGAGAAAAAGAGAUGUGAAAAUUAGCACAAGAAAUCAUAAUUUUAUUAUGCAUUUCAAUCUAAAAGUGCGAUGAGAAGUCAUCCACAAAAUUUG